AGCAAAACGAUGAUGGAGAUAAGUAUGUUUUGACCCUUUUCCAAGAGAGGAAACCCCCGGCUGUAAGGUUUCUAAAAGGAAAGAACAGAAAGCUACUCCCGAGUGCAGUUAAUCCCUGCCGGUGAAACCCCGUUACGGUUUACAUAAGGUGAUGAUUUCGGUGUUCGGCUUAAAUCAUAACCAGGGUGGUACCGCGUGAUAACAACUCUCGUCCCUGAU
rnacentral:ncRNA from 1 species